CUUUUUAUGCAAUAUAUAGCAUUAAUUAUAUGAUUUGGACCAUUUGGUUGCCUAGAAAAUGUUGGAAAGUAAAAGAAGGAAAAACAGAAGCAUAAACACAGCCAUAAAAAAGAUUCAUUUUCCCUCACGAAUCAGAGCAAUCCAACUUCCUCUCUACGCUCCUUCACCUUCACGACAGAAACACAAUCAGAUUCCUGACUGAAGACGACGAACUCAACUGACCAAGAACCAGAAAGAAAACCUCAAAACCCUGGAAUUGAGAAAUAAGACAAUGCAAGCUCUGCAGACUAGAAAACCAAAUCAAAUCAAAACAAAACAACACCAAAUUUCGUUUCUCCACUCAUUUCCUUUCCUUGAAAUCCAAGUCCUCAGCAAAAACCACCAAUCAAGAACCACAAACUCCAGAACUGAGAAAUGAAACAACAGAGAGAACGAGAAAACUAAAGCCAAUCAAAACUCCCCUUAUUUCUUCCUUUUUCAACUCCUGUCACUCAGGGAAAACCCUAGACUUGAGAAACGAGAGCCUAACCCUAACCGGUCAAGAAUCGAGCACCUGAAAACCCUAGAAUUGAGAAACGUAAGAAGAAGGAUACGAAACGGCAAGAGAGAAGGCCAGAUGAGGUUGUGGUUAGUGAACCAGCCGUCGAGAACUGGAACGAGAGCCUUCCGGCGAAGGUACCUAUCCUCCGAACUCAUCGAAUCAAGUUAUUAUUUACUUAUCAAAGGGGUAAUAUAGUUUAUUCCUUUUUUCAAAGUUUGAAACAUCGUGAUCAAAAGCAAGGAAUGGUACUUUUCCUGAGUUAGAAUCCUAGGUCUGAACAUUCAAGAAAGCUAAAAGUUUGGAAUAAGAUUCGCACGGCUGUGCAAGAAAAGUUGGUCCAUUUUCCAGCUAUAUAUACAAAGCCAUGAAUUACCAGCUCAAGGCCUAACCCUAACCCUAACCCUAACACCCUUCUGCUGCUUCCUUCAUACCUUAUCAAUGUCAGGGCAACAACAACGGACAAAGAAUGUUGGUGUUUGGGUGGAGGAAAGCGAUUUUCUCGAAAUCAAUAUUACCGCUAUUGGGAAAGACAUUCUAUUGAAGAUAGACGAAGCUACUGAGCUGACGAUCAAAUGUAAGAAAGGUCUACAAAUAAUGAUCCCAGACCCCAACAAAACUCAAGCAAACCCCACUAAAACUCAAGCAGCGAAGGUAUGUACCAGCUAAAGGUCAAAUAUAAGAAGCGUCUCCAAAUGAUGUUGGAGGUAUGAAAGUAUUAUUGAAGAUAUAGAGAGAUUUGACUUUCCAUGCUAUGGAUGAAGAUAAUCUUAGAAGAAUCCUUAUAGUUUUUAUUUUAUUUAUUGUAUAUGGGAUUAUUUCCUUUUCCUUUUAUUGUUUUUAUGUAUAAUACCAUUGUAUCUUUACAUGAAAAACCCUAGUUGUGUAGAGAUGAAAAACCACUACAGUCAAGAACCUCAAAUCAAUAAUCCACUAUAUGAAAAAAAAAAAAAAAGUAGUGUACAAAAUUAUUUAAUAGAUGCUACUCUUAAACUUACUUUAUGUAACUUAUGAUAUAAUUUAUGUUUGCAAUGCAACGCCUUAUGUGCUCCAACA